UCCGUGUUGGUGUAGGGGUUUAACAUUGCCGCCUCUCACGUAAUAACAUUACGUAGUGGUCGCGGCAGCCCGGGGUUCGACUCCCCGACACGGAA